UUACUGGAAAGCCCCCGGUCCCGACACGGUUGACGGCCGUGUUUUAAAUGUCUUUUGUAGCCUCGGGUUUCCGCUUCGUAGCCGCGCUAUACUUUCCACACACACGCAGGGCGAGAGUGUGAGAGGAGAGCGUGUCGAGAGUGACAGGGACUCCGUUGUAGGAGGCGCUGUCCAUGGUGCUGCGAAGAGGAAGUGCUGGCCAUGGUGCUUCAGCGAGGACAAGCAACUGAAGAAGGAAGUCAAACCUCGGCUAAUACAGCUCAGUUUCCAUAGUGUCAAACCCACUAACCAUCAAUGGAGGUUUGUUACCUGUUUGCUAAAACCCGCGGCGCUUGCUGCUUCCAUACCAGCUUCAAAGAAACCACAGUGUUUGGCUGCCUCAAGAUUUGCAAGCAGUUGCCAGGUGAUAUGAUUGAUUUAUUCAUGAUUAUGUUUGCCCAGCUCUCAGAGAACAGACAUGACUAUAACUGUGUAAGCACUGUAAUCACCACAUCAACUCAGAUUAGACACAGCGAUACUGCAAGUGUUUGUGUGCUUGCAUCAGCCAAUUAACCAGCACAAGUUACAGGAGUCAACACAUUUCUCACAGCAGUCUGGAUAAAACUGUAAAAACACUUUUGACAAAUAUAGUCAAUUUUACUCCUGGAGAAACUGCUCAGUGUAACACCAUUUUUCUGGCCCUGAAAAAAUUGUUUAUAACAUAAACCUUAAAUCUGUCAAUGCACAUUACUAUGCGCACACGCACAUCAUCUGCCCUGUCUAAUAUCUUGACAGGACAACCCAUUUGAAAGAUGUCAUACAAGGUAAAGGUGCCCACUGAUCAAUCUUCUCCAUUGAUUUAUGGUUGAUGACACCGGGAGGUGGCUGCAAAAAGCUCCCACAUUUAGCUUAUUGACAAGCUGUAUCGAGUGACACAUCGCGGCCCGAGAAUCAUUUUCUGGGAUAGCAUAGCUACCCACCAGCUAAUUGACAGUAAAUGGCUUAAAAUAGGAUGUAGCUGUAAUGCACAAGGAUAUUUUGCAGUAUCAGUGUUGGGUGUCUCUGUAAACCAUCUUUAAAACAGAGUGAGUUCAUUGCUGGUGUGAAUCCAUGAGGUGAGAUGAAGGCGAUAAUGUCCUUCACCUGAAUGACCUGGUAUGACACAUCAUGCUGAUGCAAUAAUUGUCACUCAACACGUGAGUUCACAACAUCAAUCUCUCCCCAUAAUUUGGCAGCAACCCUGCCACCAGACAAGAACACCAACAUUGGAUGGUUCUGUAAAGUCCGUUUCCAGUAUUUCACAUAUAAAUAAACAACACGACGUGUCUCCUGCACACAUAACCUUUAGCUUUUAUAACAGCUUUUUUCCAAGUCCAAUAUAUCUGAACAAGUCCAAUAUAGCUGUAAAAUGUGGAAUAUGUUCCCAUAAGUUCUGGAGUGCACAUAACUCUAUACUUUUUGUAUUUUACGGUAUUUAACUGUACUUUUAUUGUGUGUACAGAUGCUCUAGCUUUCUCAUCUCAGCACAGUGAAAAUAUGUGGAGGAAGCCAGUUUCAGAGCACAGUAUAGGGGCCAAUUAUUGUAUGACAGCCCUGUCAGAUACAGAUGUACGCUAUUUAAUAGGGAUCCCAGGCAAGUUUGAGAUGUGAGCGUGUGAACAGGAAACUGGAAAACGAGGUAUGAAAUGUAUUUUUUGAGUGAGUUGUUCAGCUCCUGAAGCAUGCACUUCUGUUUCUUAGUGUUCAAAGUUGCAAGACUGGGAUAACAAAUUGGUAGCGCUCUAUACAGAGGGAGCAAAUAUCAGCUCCACAUCCAUCAGCUCUGUAAGUGCACAAACAACUCACCGACCUAAACCUGAGCAGGCGUCACUAAAAAUGAACACGAAAGAAUAAAUAUUUUACAGCCGAGCUUAACAUUUUGGGAACUAUUUGCUCUCAUGUGUGAGUUAAAUCAGAAGAUUGAAACCACUCUCUCAGCUCAGUAUUUGUCUGCUGUGGUUCUAGCUUUGCAUUCAGUGUGCACAUAUAAGGUUGUUGCCUAUCAAUUAUUCCGUCUAAGUCUCAGUAGAGAGCAGAAGUGUCUAACUAUGUGCUAUUUGCAAAUGUUGUAUUUGCUAUCAGCCUUAACAGCUUUUUAGAUAGCAGGCUACACGACAUGAUGCUGCCAGGUAGAGGUACGUGAGUUACACCCUGGACAGGAUGUCAGUCCAUCAUGUUUUUGGAAGAAAACUCACAGACACAAACAAAAAAGGGGCAAAUCAACUGGUUGCAAGGGAAAGUGUGCAUCUUCUCACUAAAUGUAUAACAUUAUUCGUAAAUAUUUUCCUGAAGUGUUAAUGGUCUCAUUCCCUUGUCUCAAAUCUUCUUCCAUGAAAUACGAUGCAAUGUUGACUGACAAAGUGCUCGUCAACUUCACAGUGGGAGUUAAAACCAGAAGACAGUCUAUUUUGCACAUGCAGCAUCAACAAGAUGUCUGGUUGAUUUAGUUUAUUCCAAUCUAAAUUAAAUAGUUCCUGCAGCAGGCUGCCAAACUGUUGUUGUGUCUGUUGUUAUCCUGCCAGUGUCAGUUAAACACAGGUGAAAAACAACCAGUAAUCUGUAACCAAAGCCAUUCACAGUCUUGGUUUACUUAAAUCAUAAUGACGUAGUUAAACACAACUAAUUAGAGCUGUGGGCAGCUGCUGGUGUGACGGCAUCAGUGCGUCUUGUACGACCUUGGUGUAACAGGAGUCCGUGUUCAGCCACUGGCUAUUGAGGGCAAGGGGAAACUAUAGAAGCGCCCUAUAAACUUAGACAAUGAUUGCUACAGCACCAGCAGGAUUCAGUUCCUCUUAUAGGGCACCUGCGAAAGCAACUGGCCUCAUUAGAUUCUACAGAGCCGUGAGGAGGUACGGAGGGAUGUCACCUGGAGAGUCAUAGAGAUAAUUUUAUAUCACAGCUAUCUCUUAAAGCUAAAAUUGUCAAUGACGGUGCACUUACAACUCUCCAGGUGGUGCGAUGGGUGACAAACAGUAUUGUGUAAUCCCCUACUUGAAUAUUUUAUGAACCAGUUGCCAGUGAAGCAGAAACCAGGGGAGUUCAACUCCGCGAGUAGUGGUGCACUGUGGGAAAUGUUGGAUGGAGUAUUUUGAUAGGGCUCUUAAUCAGAGCAAUAAGAGACAUGAGUUUCACUUAUUGUGUUUCUGCAUUUUGGAGGAUUCCCUUUACAGAAAAAACUAAAGUUUAUACCGCCCUCUGUUGGCAACAUUAUUCAAACACACCUACAUAAUGGUGUGAAGUGCAGUGGUAGGUUUAAAUUUAAUACCGGCUCAUGAUGGGGUUAAAAAAUAAAACAAAAAUAUAAAAACACCUCAUUAUACAUAAAUGUCCUGCAUUUAUAGUCAUAGUUUAAAAAUAAUAACAUGCACUAUUAGAGUAAUAAUAAGAUAAGAGAUCACACGAUCUAGGGAUGCACCGAUUUUUGUGUACUUAAUAAUCGCAUUACAGCAAAAAAAAAAAGGAUUUGCUUAUCUUAAAGUAUUUCCACACUGCUGACAUUGUGUCACAGCUGCUUAUUUCUACACACCUGCUCUGCUCACUUGAAGAUUCAUUAAGUGGUACUGUGUGCAGCAGUAUCACUAUAAGUACAAAUAGUAUAAUAUGAGUACCAGAUCCAGAAAAAGUGACAUUUUACUGCUCAGAAAACCCUUCUGAAAAAUGCUUCUUUCCCGAUGAAGACUAACCAGAAGCUGAACAACAAAAUCACCAGAGGUUAUUCACUGGAGCUGAAGAGAGCAAUGUCAAGCUUCAUUCCACCACAUUCAUAUGGAAUGAAAAUCCCAUAGUGCAGGUGGUCACACAGUACAGUAGCUAUUGUACAUUGACAACAGGAGUGAGGUUGAAUUAAAGCAGUGGAUCUGUGUGUCUCUCUCUCCCUCUGUCUGCUUCCUUUUCUUCAUAACUCGGUCUGAAUCACACAGAGGCCUUGUCAUGUCUGGAGAGGUUUAAACCACUUAGAGGAUGAGCAGGGGUCUGAGCUCCCCUCAGACAUUCAAGAACAGCCUUCUGUUGAGAGCGAGAUCCUGGAGGAGCCCUGUUUAGCCACAGAUAGUAGAUAAGUGCCCUGUUAGUUCAUCCUUUCUCAGCACUUGAAGCUCCAGUUCCAAGAGCUACUUAGAGGAUGCUGUGCAGCGUUUUGCCCCCCUCUCCUCUUUAAAGCAGCUGAGCUCAGAGAAACACAUUUGUCACACUGGGAGGCUUUACAACCCCCUGAGCCGCCACAUGCAAUACACUGUAGGUUUACAGGCACAGACUAUAUUUAUCAAACUAUGAAAUUUGAGUAUUUGCUGCGUCACUCAGUGGAACGAUCCUAUGCUCAGUUAACUCUGCUGGUCAAGGAUAAAGUGGUGAUACUCUUGAUUUUUGUGGAUGACAGUAUAUCAAGUAAAAACACCUAAAGCCAACAAAGUAAAGUUUUUUUUUUUUUGUAUUUGUUCCCUGUUUCCGACUUGCAGGCCAAAGGCCACAAGUCUGUUUGAAGGCUGCUGUGACUGAGCACGCCGCCACAAUGGACCAUUAUAACCGAAUGUGUCUAACAUGUUUUGAUGGUGGGAGGAAAUCGGAGUGCCACUUUAAAAAGGCCAAGACUGUAAUUUCCCAAAACGUCUUGGCACUAUACAUCUAUCUGAAGAUCUAUUUUUUGUUUGCCUGUGAAAUUCAAUUGCGUAAAGUUGCUUUUCUAUUUUUCUGUCUUGGAUGACCUCCUCUAACACCACAGCUCUUCUCGCUUGAAAAAGUGAACAAUCUGACUUCUCUGCGUCUGAUACGGCACAAGCUCAUAUGACUCUGUCUCCCCAUGUGUGAUAACCUUAUAUGGGCUAUAGGUUUACUGACACUAAUACACCAAUGUUACAGUAUCUAAGGGGGCAGGGGUUAAAGAGGAAAACUUACUCGAUCACACGCUGUAACAGCUCUGUUUUCAUGCCUGGCUCUGGCCUGUCAAUCUCACGUGUUAUGAUCUCUUUCCAUUGAUGCGAGUUGGCAGGAGUCACUGUCAGGUGAAUAGAGCAGGGUUUGGGUCGGAGACGGAAGGUAAAAGGCAACCCAAUCCACUCUCUGGCUCGCCAUGUGAUGUUGUUUGGGUUGAGCUGGGAAUCUCUUAAUGAGAAAAAGUGAAGAGUGCCAAGUCUGACCUGCGGUGGAGAACAUUAAAUAUUUUAUCGAACAACCAAACAGACAUGCGGCAGUCUCAAUUUCAUCUUCCUGUUUGUCUUGAUCAUGAGGUUUGAUCAGACUUAGUAAAUCAGAGCAUAGCAGGUGUUAAGGAGGAAGAUGAAUAAAUUGAAUUAUUUUUAAUGUUGAAGUCCAGUGUGUAAGAAUUUUGGUGAGACGUGUGUCAGAAAACUAAAUUGGUCUUUGCAGAAAGGAAGUUGUUAUAGUGCAGUAAGCCUCUGCUUCAGGCUGCUAUAGAAACAUGGUGGUGCAAGAUACCUCCAUAAUACCAGGCCCUUAUUCUAAGGCUAUGAAAAGCAAAGCUUUCUUGUUUCAGGUGAGUUUACACUUAAUCAACAAACAUACUUAUGGGAAACAUAACUACGAUAAGAUGUGACAAAAACAGAUUUGAGUAUAACAGAAGUUUAAAAUAAGCUAAAAUGGAAAAUAAGCAUGUGCAGUGCAAUAAGCAGUGACAUGAACCCAACUCAUGUGAAAUACCAGACGUUUAAUUCCCGUAGGAACCACUAGAUGGCAGUCUUUUAGCACAAAUGAAUCCACAAACCAACAAUCGUACAUGUUUUAAAAAACAUAUACGCAAGUAUAAUAAUAACAACAAUAAUAAUAUGAUUCUUGAAAUAAAAUAUAUAUAGCCCUUCAUCCUGUAUAUGUCUAUUUAUUAUCUGUGCACAGAUAUGAUGAGAAACUGUUAAACUGGAAGUGUGCGGUGAGUCAGUGUGCAGGUAAAUGUCUGCUCAGUGUAAUUAAAUCAGCACAAUAAGCGGUGAGGAAAAACGCAGCCCUGUUUUCAAAAUGCUAAUUUCGCUAAUGAUAUAGACAUAUUCUCUGCUAAUGUUUUUAAAAUACACGUCUUAUAUCAGACAUAUUAAAACAUCUGCAUGAUCAUUUUAUUUAAAAAAAAUUGGAUUAGGGAGAGAAUAAUGCAUUUUGUCAAGCCCAUUGCAUGAUUUCACCUUUCAUCUUUUUUAAUCAAUAGUUUUAUGUUGUUUCAAACACCUUAGUGUUGCGAUACGCCACUUACUCACUGACGCAUCAUUUAACCCUGCUUUUAAAUCCUUCAGGCUGUGAAUUAUCUGAAAACAUGAUGUUAGAACAUUUAUUCCAUGUAACAAUGUAAAACAUGUAAAACAAUCACCCUAUAAUUCAUUAUUACUGAACAAAACAAAUGAUAUGUAUAUAAGUUUAAUUGAAACUGCUUCAGUUCAUGAUUCAUCAUAUAAUACAAUUAAACAAUUACAAUUA